CAUAAUCAUUAGUUUCUUAAUUGGAAACUUGUAUGAAUGGUUGAACAAAAGAAAUGCUGUCUCUAAUUUAAAAUUUGAAUUUAACUUUUAAGUGAAAAGGCUUAAAUUUUUCAAGGGGACGAUAAGACCCUAUAAAGCUUUAUAAAUGACUAGUUAUUUUUUAAAUUAAAAAAUAAAAAAAAAUUCUAGAGGUUUAUUGUGUUGGGGCGACACGGAUAUAAUUUUAAGUAACUAUCAGAAAAAGAAACAAUAAUUUUUGAGUUUUAUGAUCCUAAUUAAAGAUUACAAGACUAAGUUACUUUAGGGAUAACAGCGUUAUUCUUUUUGAGAGUUCAUAUCGAAAAAAGAGUUUGCGACCUCGAUGUUGAAUCAUAAGAUCUUUAUAGUGCAGCAGCUGUAAAAG
rnacentral:rRNA from 1 species